ACGAACGCUGGCGGCGUGCUUAACACAUGCAAGUCGAACGGAAAGGCCCUGCUUUUGUGGGGUGCUCGAGUGGCGAACGGGUGAGUAACACGUGAGUAACCUGCCCUUGACUUUGGGAUAACUUCAGGAAACUGGGGCUAAUACCGGAUAGGAGCUCCUGCUGCAUGGUGGGGGUUGGAAAGUUUCGGCGGUUGGGGAUGGACUCGCGGCUUAUCAGCUUGUUGGUGGGGUAGUGGCUUACCAAGGCUUUGACGGGUAGCCGGCCUGAGAGGGUGACCGGCCACAUUGGGACUGAGAUACGGCCCAGACUCCUACGGGAGGCAGCAGUGGGGAAUAUUGCACAAUGGGGGGAAGCCUGAUGCAGCAACGCCGCGUGCGGGAUGACGGCCUUCGGGUUGUAAACCGCUUUCGCCUGUGACGAAGCGUGAGUGACGGUAAUGGGUAAAGAAGCACCGGCUAACUACGUG
rnacentral:rRNA from 1 species